GACGUAGGGCGCGAGCGUUGUCCGGAUUUAUUGGGCGUAAAGAGCUCGUAGGCGGCUUGUCGCGUCGUCCGUGAAAUCCGUGCGGCUUAACCGCAGGGCUGCCUUCUAAACUGUCAGGCUUGAGCACGGUAGAGGCAGAUGGAAUUCCCGGUGUAGCGGUGGAAUGCGUAGAGAUCGGGAAGAACAUCAGUGGCGAAGGCGGUCUGGCUGGGCCGUUGCUGACGCUGAGGCGCGACAGCGGUGGGGAGCAAACAGG
rnacentral:rRNA from 1 species